rnacentral:rRNA from 1 species
CUGGCGGCGUGCCUAACACAUGCAAGUCGAGCGAGGAGAUCCUUCGGGAUGAUCCUAGCGGCGGACGGGUGAGUAACACGUGGGCAACCUGCCUCAUAGAGAGGAAUAGCCUUCCGAAAGGGAGAUUAAUACCUCAUAACAUUGCAGUUUCGCAUGGAACAGCAAUUAAAGGAGUAAUCCGCUAUGAGAUGGGCCCGCGGCGCAUUAGCUAGUUGGUGAGGUAACGGCUCACCAAGGCGACGAUGCGUAGCCGACCUGAGAGGGUGAUCGGCCACAUUGGGACUGAGACACGGCCCAGACUCCUACGGGAGGCAGCAGUGGGGAAUAUUGCACAAUGGGGGAAACCCUGAUGCAGCAACGCCGCGUGAGUGAUGACGGCCUUCGGGUUGUAAAGCUCUGUCUUCAGGGACGAUAAUGACGGUACCUGAGGAGGAAGCCACGGCUAACUACGUGCCAGCCGCCGC